rnacentral:rRNA from 1 species
GACGAACGCUGUCGGCGUGCUUAACACAUGCAAGUCGAACGGAAAGGCCCUGCUUUUGUGGGGUGCUCGAGUGGCGAACGGGUGAGUAACACGUGAGUAACCUGCCCUUGACUUUGGGAUAACUUCAGGAAACUGGGGCUAAUACCGGAUAGGAGCUCCUGCUGCAUGGUGGGGGUUGGAAAGUUUCGGCGGUUGGGGAUGGACUCGCGGCUUAUCAGCUUGUUGGUGGGGUAGUGGCUUACCAAGGCUUUGACGGGUAGCCGGCCUGAGAGGGUGACCGGCCACAUUGGGACUGAGAUACGGCCCAGACUCCUACGGGAGGCAGCAGUGGGGAAUAUUGCACAAUGGGCGGAAGCCUGAUGCAGCAACGCCGCGUGCGGGAUGACGGCCUUCGGGUUGUAAACCGCUUUCGCCUGUGACGAAGCGUGAGUGACGGUAAUGGGUAAAGAAGCACCGGCUAACUACGUGCCAGCAGCCGCGGUGAUACGUAGGGUGCGAGCGUUGUCCGGAUUUAUUGGGCGUAAAGGGCUCGUAGGUGGUUGAUCGCGUCGGAAGUGUAAUCUUGGGGCUUAACCCUGAGCGUGCUUUCGAUACGGGUUGACUUGAGGAAGGUAGGGGAGAAUGGAAUUCCUGGUGGAGCGGUGGAAUGCGCAGAUAUCAGGAGGAACACCAGUGGCGAAGGCGGUUCUCUGGGCCUUUCCUGACGCUGAGGAGCGAAAGCGUGGGGAGCGAACAGGCUUAGAUACCCUGGUAGUCCACGCUGUAAACGGUGGGUACUAGGUGUGGGGUCCAUUCCACGGGUUCCGUGCCGUAGCUAACGCUUUAAGUACCCCGCCUGGGGAGUACGGCCGCAAGGCUAAAACUCAAAGGAAUUGACGGGGCCCCGCACAAGCGGCGGAGCAUGCGGAUUAAUUCGAUGCAACGCGUAGAACCUUACCUGGGUUUGACAUGGAUCGGGAGUGCUCAGAGAUGGGUGUGCCUCUUUUGGGGUCGGUUCACAGGUGGUGCAUGCCUGCCGUCAGCUCGUGUCGUGAGAUGUUGGGUUAAGUCCCGCAACGAGCGCAACCCUUGUUCACUGUUGCCAGCACGUUAUGGUGGGGACUCAGUGGAGACCGCCGGGGUCAACUCGGAGGAAGGUGGGGAUGACGUCAAGUCAUCAUGCCCCUUAUGUCCAGGGCUUCACGCAUGCUACAAUGGCUGGUACAGAGAGUGGCGAGCCUGUGAGGGUGAGCGAAUCUCGGAAAGCCGGUCUCAGUUCGGAUUGGGGUCUGCAACUCGACCUCAUGAAGUCGGAGUCGCUAGUAAUCGCAGAUCAGCAACGCUGCGGUGAAUACGUUCCCGGGGCU